rnacentral:lncRNA from 1 species
UUGUAGUUAGGUUGUUUUGACUUAGGUUUUGUAUUAUGUUUUGAUAGUGAUAGAUUGCAUUAAAGAAGAAGCUCAUAAGAACCAUAUAAGCAAAUGUCAUGUAUUGAAAAUGUGAAUGUUUGUUUGAAUAAUGUUGUUGGUUUGAAUAAUGAUGGUUAAUUUUUGUUGAAAAUAAUUUGUAGUUUCGAUUGAGGGCAUGGUGUGACACCAAAGCCAUAGUCCAAAUUAAUGGUAUAUUAAGAGAAAUUGAUCAGAUA